AUUGAACGCUGGCGGCAUGCUUUACACAUGCAAGUCGAACGGUAACAGGGUGCUUGCACCGCUGACGAGUGGCGAACGGGUGAGUAAUGCGUCGGAACGUGCCGAGUAGUGGGGGAUAACGCAGCGAAAGUUGUACUAAUACCGCAUACGUACUGAGGUAGAAAGUGGGGGACCUUCGGGCCUCACGCUAUUCGAGCGGCCGACGUCUGAUUAGCUAGUAGGUGAGGUAAAGGCUCACCUAGGCGACGAUCAGUAGCGGGUCUGAGAGGAUGAUCCGCCACACUGGGACUGAGACACGGCCCAGACUCCUACGGGAGGCAGCAGUGGGGAAUUUUGGACAAUGGGCGAAAGCCUGAUCCAGCCAUGCCGCGUGUCUGAAGAAGGCCUUCGGGUUGUAAAGGACUUUUGUCAGGGAGGAAAUCCCUAGUGCUAAUAACACUGGGGGAUGACAGUACCUGAAGAAUAAGCACCGGCUAACUACGUGCCAGCCGCCGCCGUAA
rnacentral:rRNA from 1 species